rnacentral:tRNA from 1 species
AAAAUAUAGCUAAUUAUAAGUAUUUCACUUACGUUGAAAAGAUUUAAUCUUUGAGAUUAUAUUUUGAA